rnacentral:SRP_RNA from 1 species
GCCAGGCAUAGUGUUGUGUGCCUGUAAUCCCAGCUACUCGGGAGGCUGAGGCAGGAGGAUCGCUUGAACCUGGGAGGCGGAGGUUGCAGUGAGCAAAGAUUGCACCACUGCAGUCCAGCCUGGGUGACAGAGUGAGACUCUGUCUCCA